rnacentral:rRNA from 1 species
UACGUAGGGGGCAAGCGUUGUCCGGAAUCAUUGGGCGUAAAGGGUGCGUAGGCGGGUCUUUAAGUCAGGGGUGAAAUCCUGGAGCUCAACUCCAGAACUGCCUUUGAUACUGACGGUCUCGAGUCCGGGAGAGGUGAGUGGAACUGCGAGUGUAGAGGUGAAAUUCGUAGAUAUUCGCAAGAACACCAGUGGCGAAGGCGGCUCACUGGCCCGAUACUGACGCUGAGGCACGAAAGCGUGGGGAGCAAACAGGG